rnacentral:rRNA from 1 species
AAUGAACGUUGGCGGCGUGGAUUAGGCAUGCGAGUCGUGCGAGAAUCGUAGCAAUACGAGGAAAGCGGCGAAAGGAGAGGAAUACGUAGAAAUCUGCCCUCGGGACGGGGAUAGCGGCGGGAAACUGCCGGUAAUACCCGAUAACAUCUUCGGAUCAAAGGUGUGAUUCCGCCUGUGGAUGAGUCUACGUCCUAUUAGCUAGUUGGCGGGGUAAUGGCCCACCGAGGCGACGAUGGGUAGCGGGUGUGAGAGCACGACCUGCCUCAUUGGGACUGAGACACUGCCCAGACACCUACGGGUGGCUGCAGUCGAGAAUCUUCGGCAAUGGACGAAAGUCUGACCGAGCGACGCCGCGUGCGGGAUGAAGGCCUUCGGGUUGUAAACCGCUGUCGUAGGGAACCAAAUUCAUGGGGGUUCUCCCCUGUGAUUGAGAGAACCUAGGAGGAAGGAGAGGCUAAGCUCGUGCCAGCAGCCGCCGUAAUAC